GAAAUAAACAAAGUGAUCCGCACCCUGCCACGCAACACUAUUCCAGCCGUUCCAGCCAUGAUUUGGGUGCCAGACAACAGUGAGGUGGCUUAAGGAUGCAGAGAUGCAGACGGUGCAGCCAUCAGUCUCACCAUCGGGUUUUAAUGACUGCAGUGAGAGCAACAUUACAGCUCAGAGCCUGAGGCCAUCAAUCAAAAAACUAGCACGUGUUAAACCUGGUGGUGUAUCUCUUUAUGUGCCUGUACCUGGCCCUUGUUGCGUGGUACUGGCG